GUUGUGUUGUUAAGUUUUUGGUGCUUGAUUCAUGAUUUUAGUUGAGAUUGAGUAUAGUUUGAUACAUUUUAUAUGGUUGAGUCGAUUCUAAAUGUUUGGGGAAAGAACCAUUGGAGUUAAGGGGAUUUAGAGUUGAAAAACGAGUAAGAAAAGUCGUCAAACACCUGGGGAAGGGGUGGUACAUUGCGCUAUCAAGAAUGUUGCGGGGUUUGUCCCAACAUUUAUCUUAGUAUUAUAGAGUCUUAAUAGAUAGAUAGUCAGUAAGAUAAUCAGUUUUGAGUCUCUCUUUAUUUUGCAUUUCAAAUGUUUUAUUUUGAGACUAAAGUGCCACUUUGUCCAAGACAAUUUAUUUUAAGUUAUCUUGUGAGGAUGAUUCUUAUUUAUUAAUGAGUUAAGUCUUCUGUUGAGUUAAGCAAGACAUACUAAGGGUUUUCUCAAGGAUAGCAAUGAUCAUUAGGUAUCGACCAUGUCAAGGGUGUAGGCUAGGGGCGUGACACUGGUGACUGCAAGCGCGCCAUGCCUUGCUCUGCCCAGGUGACGCCUGAUGAAUUUUCAUGUUGUUUUCCUGACCUUAAAUCUUUCUAAUUCGAUUCUUUUACUCAAAUUCGCCGUAUAUUUAUAUAAUCAUUUCGUAUGUACAAGGAUCUAACCCAAGGAACUUAAGAAAUAUCACUUUCUACCUCAAGUAAUUCAUAAACUUAACUCAUGUUCAAGAAUGAAAGAAAUUCAAGAACAACAUUCAAGAACAUUCAAAAUUCAAUCUUUUAUGAUGAAUUCAGGAUGAAUUAAACAUGUUUGGAACCUGGAUUAACAAACCCAACUUUAUGGAAGACUCACAUACCUUUUUACCCUCGAUGAAAUACUCAAAUGAAUUCAACGAUCUUCCGAAUCUUUCCCUAUUUCUUCUUCUUUUCUCUUCUCUUUCUCCUUUCUCUAAGCCUAGCGUGAAUUCUCUUGGUCCAAACACAUAUGUUCUUCAAUGAUCCAAGUAAUGAGGUUUCCUAUUGUGGUGGGUUCUUUUAUAGCUGUGGACACCUGGAUAGGCACUCUGUCAAUUCCAGAUCUUCUGAUAGUGACACCAUUGGGUCUUACAUAGCAGCGAAUUAUUUGCUUCAUGGAGCAGCUUAGUUUGUCCGAAUGUGUUGAGGUUGCCUUAGUUCAGGCUUUUAUGACUACUCGGAUUUUCAUCUUGAGAUAGUUUUUGUUUUUUGGCUAGUAUGUGUCAUAUUCUACUGUCAUUUUUGUUUUUUGUCCAGAUGCUUCUUUUCUUUAAUUAUCCAACUGCGAGACUCCAAAUGGUUGAUGGUUCUGGUCUUAUGGACACCUGACAAGAUCUCUUGGAUCUAUUGAAAGCUCAUAAACGGGUGGUGUUUUUGCUUUUCAUUUUCUCUGCUUUCUUUUUCUUGUAAAACGUCAGCUUGAUUUUGUUUGUGGGAUGGAUGUAUGGUGUAAGUUGAGGGGAUUAGACUUGUUGAAGAAUUUCGAAGGUUGGUGUAUGGUGUGCAUUCCGUGCACCCUGUUUUUGGCUAUAUUGGUGCAUGCACCAAAAUCUUCAUACUAUCAGAGGCUUUGAUAGAACGGUUCUCAAUCUUGUCUCGCAUUACUAGUGGAUUCUAGGUAGUUAGGCUUCACCAGCUUUGCACUUAAACUAUUCCAUUCUUUCUAUGCUUGCAGCCGUUGGGUCUUUUCGAGUUGUAUAUUCUUCUUUUCAUGGAGCGGCCUUGUCUGUCGAUUUAUGUUGAGGUUUCUUUUGUCAAUUUGUGUUGAGGAUUUUUUUUGUCAAUGCUUUAAUAAUUAUUGAGAUCUUUAAUUCCGUUUCCUUCCGUAAUCAGAAUGGUUCCCUUUUCUCUUUGUCAACAUUGCUUCACUAUCUGUUGCAUAUUUUGUUGCUAUUUUUUUAAAGUAAUCCAGAUGCUUAUGCUUGUUGGUGAUAAAACUGAUGAGAUGUUCAUGGUUAUGGACAGUUGAUGAAUGUAUUCAGAAUCAGUCUUGGAUUUUUUGAUAGCCCUGUAACACUUUUACUUUCAUGUUGUAGCUGCUUCCCUUCUUUGCUUUCAUUUAGCCUACUAGUUGAUUUAGUUUGGUUGGAUGAAUGUUUGUAGGUUACAUAGUGGUGAUAUGUUGAUAGUCGGAGGAUAAGAUUAAAUUUUGUAGUUUGGUUUUGAUGUGCAUCCCUGUGAAUCCUGUUUCAUGCCAUUCUGGUGCUUGAACUGUUAUCUGGAUGGUAGGAUAUAACAGACACUUUGAGAAAUAGGCGCUUUGCAAUGUUAUAUUGUUUGGCAUCUCUAGUGGUCUUGCUGCGUGGUAUGAGUUUCCUAUGAUUUUCCAUGUUUUGCACUGACAUGUUAUGUUAUUUUUGUGCAUGUGAUCUGUGGGUUUUAUUUACAGAAUGAACAUAAGUUCAGUUUGACCCUUUCCUCUUUGUCAAAACUACUGUUGUGUGGAAGUCCUCAACAAUGGUAAUAUUUCCCAUCAGUAUGUGUUUUACUCUGCUUUCCAGUUGUUGUGUCACCCCAUCUUGAUUUCAUUUGUUGGAUGGAUGGCAGUUAACAGGAUAAGAUGAGGGAAGUUCCAAAGGUUGAAUGCCCAGAGUCCAUUCCUGUGCAUCCUGUUUUUUUUCCUAUUUCCAUGCUUGCACUGCAAUCUGAAUAUACCAGGCUUGUUUGAGGGGGUUUCCAAUUUUUUUUCUUUGCAUUUUUGUGAUUCUACUGUAAUAUGAAAAUGACCAGGCUUUGAGAGGGUUUUUCAAUCUUUUCUGGCGUUUUACAGUGGGUUUCGUAACUCCUCCCUUUGUUCCUUUGCUUGCAGCCAUUGGGUCUCACAAAGCAGAGGAUUUUUAUUCUCAUGGAGUGCCCUUAUUUGUACAUAUGUGUUGUUGAGGUUUCUUUUAAGUCUUUUAUGAGUAUGAUAGUUUUCAAUUUAAGUUUUUUUUCUCUAAUGACUGCUUUGUCUUUUCAAAACUACUGCUGUGUGAAGUUUCUCAAUUAGGACAUUAUUUUUCACCAGUGUAUUGUGUUCUGCUGCCAUUAAGUUCUUAGUCCGACGCAUGUGUCUUAUAUGAUCCAAUUGAUGAGGUAUCUUAUGGUGAUGAUGAAGUCUCUUAUGGCUAUGGACAACUGAUAAGUACUCGGCCAAUUGUGGAUCUUUCAGUCGUGGCGUAAAAUACUUUGUUUCUUUUGUUCUUCUAGCUAUUUAUCUUCUCUGCUUCCAUUUUUUCUUUUAUCACACUAGUUUUUUUGGUUUGAUGGAUGUGUAGACCAUAUUGUGAUACUGUUAUGCAUGUUCAGGUUUGGAAAUUUCAAAGCUUGGUUAACCAACAUGCUAUCCUCGACCACGUUUUGGAAUUUUUGUGCUUGCACUGCAAUCUUGAUAUUAUCUGGGCUUUGACAGAAGGGGGUAUUCGGUCUCGUCUAUGGCAUAUCUAGUCAUCGUUUUGGGUGGUCCGGGGUUUGUAAUAAUUGCACUUUACUAUUGCUUUCUUUCUGUUCUUGCAGCCAUUGGCUAGUGAAUUGUCUUUUCAUGAAGCGGCCGUGUUUGUCCAUUUGUGUUGAGGUUUCUUUACCAUUGGGUCUUACAGAGCAGUAACUCUUUUGAUCGAGAGGCUUUCUUUGUCCAGUUUAUGUCGAGGUUUCAUGGUUCAGGCUUUUGGGUCUAACCGAGCAAUGAAUUAUCCUUUUCAUGGAGGGGCUUUGUUUAGACAUUUGUGUUGAGGUUCUUCUACUUCAGGUUUUGUGAGUACUGUGAUUCACAUUUCAAUUUUCUUCCCUAAUAGGAGUGGUCCCUCUUCUCUUUGUCAACAAUUGUUGUUAUAUGGAAGUCCCUAGUAAAAUUAGUUUUUCUUGCACUAGCGUGUAUUGUAUUCUUCUGUCAUUUUUAGUUUGUAGAUCAAAUGUUUGAGUUCUUCGGUAAUCCAAUUGAUGAGAUUCCGAGAUCCCUGGUUGGUUGAUGGGUAUAUGGUCUUAUUGACACCUAAUAAGUAAUCAAAACUCAAUCCUAUAUCUCUUGACACUCCAUCAAGUGGGUCUGUUCUCUCAUCCUUGUUUGUUGUAUCACCCCAGCUUGAUUUUGUUUGUUUGAUAGAUGACAGUGGAGAUUAGAUUUGGAAAAUUUCAUAGGUUGAUGCCCAUGUCCAUUCUUGUGCAAGCUGUUUCUCUGUCAUUUAUGUGCUGGCACUACAAUCUGAAUAUUGUUAGGUGAGAUAGAGGAGUUUCUUAAUCUUGAUUCUUUGCCAGUUUUGUGGUUGCACCACAAUGUGGAUAUUAUCAGGCUACGAGAGGGUUUUUUCAAUCUUGUCUUGCAUUUUCUAGUGGUUAUCGUAAGCUUUGCAAGAAAUUCUUCCCUUCAUUCCUUUGGUUGCAGCCAUUGGAUCUUACAGAGCAGUGGAUUCUUCUUUCAUGGAGUGAUAUUGUUUGUCCAUAUGAGUUGAGGCCUUUCUUGUUCAGUCUUUUAUGAGUAUUGGUCAUUCUUAAUUCAGUUUUCUUCCCUAUGGCUCCUCUUAUCUUUGUCAAAACUACUAUUGUAUGGGAGUUUCUCAGUCAGGAUAUUAUUUUGGACCAUUGUGUUCUGCUGCCAUUAAGUACUUAGUUCAGAAGCAUAUGCUCAUCCAUGAUCCAUGUUGUGAGGUGUCCUAUGGUGAUGAGGUCUUCUGUGUGGGCACCCGAAUAAGUACUCGGCCAAUCCUAGAUCUUUUAUCAGGGAUGUAAAUAACUUCUUUACUUUGUUCUUCUAGCUACUUAUUAUCUCUUUUUUUUCCAUUUUUUUACAUUAUCAUGAUAGUUUGUUUUGGUUGGAUAGAUGUGUAGCCAUAUGGGGGUGUUACUGUUAUGGACAUUCAGACUUGGAAAUUUCAAAGCCUGGUUAUAAUCAACAUGUGAUCCUCUGUCAACUUUUGGUCUUUGGAAAUUUCAAAGCCUGGUUAGAUCUUUUAUCAGUAAUGUAAAUAACUUCUUUACUUUUGUUCUUCUAGCUACUUAUUAUCUCUUUUUUUCCAUUUUUUUACAUUAUCAUGAUAGUUUGUUUUGGUUGGAUAGAUGUGUAGCCAUAUGGGGGUGUUACUGUUAUGGACAUUCAGACUUGGAAAUUAUCAACAUGUGAUCCUCUGUCAACUUUUGGUCUUUGGUGCUUGCGCUACUGAAAUAAGGGUGUUUUUAGUCUUUGUCUAUGGCAUAUUUAGUUAAUACAUGGGUGGUUUUGGGGUUUGUCAGAUUUGCACUUUACUGUUCCUUUCUUUCAGUUCUUGCAGCCAUUGAACCACAGGGUAGUGAAUUAUUAUUUUCAUGAAGAAGCCAUGUUUAUCCAUUGUUUUGAGGUUUCCUUAGUAAGAGUCUUUUAUGAGUAUUGAGAUUUUUGAUUCAGUUUUCUUUCCUUAUGGGUCCCUUUUCUCUGUCAAAACUAUUGUCGUAUGGAUGUUCUUUUGACUAAGAUAUUAUUUUCUUAAAAGUGUGUAUAAUGUUUAGCUGCCAUGGAGAUUUUAAUCCAGACACUUUGUUCUUCAAUGAUCCAACUGAUGAGUUCCCUCCUCAUUAUGGUUAUAGUCACUUGAUAAGUACUUGGCUUGUGGAUCUAUCUUUUAAUAAAGUGCUGCUCUACUUCUAGUCUUCCAGCUACAUAUAUUUUUUGCUGCCAAUUUUUUGUUGGAUGGAUGUGUAGACUAUACUGUGACAAUAUUAGAGGUUAAGAUUGGGAGAUUUAUAACUUUAAUGUUAUCAAAAAACGAUUGGGAUAUUUGUAAGGUUGAUAUCCAGUAUUGUAUCUAUGUGCCCUCUUGGUCUUUUUGGUUCUUGCACUACAAUUUGGAUAAUCUGGAUAUAUCGUAGGGGCUUCAAUGAAGAAGGGUUCUUUAAUCUUGUCUAUGUGGCAUCUCUAGUGAUUUCUUUGGUGGUGUGGGUUUUCGUCAACUUUGAAGUUGAUUGUAACCUUGUUUUUGUGUUUGCAACCAUUGGGUCUUAAAGAGCACUGAAUUAAAAGCCACUUCUCCAUUCAUGUCGAGGUUGCCUUAGUUAAGGAUUUUAUAAGUACUGGGAUUACAACUAAAAUAGUUGAUGGUUAAUGGUUAUGGUCUUAUGGACACCUGAUAACUACUCACUGCCUAAGUUGUGCGGAUUCUUCACUUCGAUGCCCUCACCCAUGCUGAUUCCAAGAAAAACUACUUUUGGCGAAUCCGACAUGCACCCGUUGACAUUUUUGAAGAGUGUGAGCAACAUAGCUCACUGCUCACUUUCUCUGGUUCCUUAUUCUUGUAUUACGCCAACUUGAUUUUGUUUGUUGGGUGGAUAUAUGGUGAAAGUUGAGGGGAUUAGGCUUGGAGGAUUUGGAAGGUUGGUGUACAGUUUUGCAUAGUCUGCACCCUAUUUCUUGGCCAUGUUAGUGCACAUAGUACAAUAUAGAUACUGUCGGAGUCUUCAGAAGAAGGCGGUUCUAUAUCUCUUCUGGUAUUUCUUGUGAAUCCUUGGUGGUAAAGGCUUCACCAGUUUUGCACUUAACUGUUCCAAUUUUUCUGUGCUUGCAACCGUUGGGUGCAGAGCCGUAGAUUCUUCUUUUCAUGUGGUGGCCUUGUCUGUCAAUUGUGUUGAAGUUUUUGGUUGUUGCUUUAAUGAUGAUUGAGAUCUUCAAUUUAGUUUUCUUCCACCAUCAGAAUGCUUACCUUUUCUCUUUGUCAAUACUGCUUCACUAGUGUGUAUUUUGUUGCCGUUUUUUUUGUAAUCUAGAUGCUUAUGUUUUUUGGUGAUUUUAACUGAUGAGAACUCCAUGGUUUGUGGGCGCUUGAUAAGUGUAUUCAAGCUCAGUCUUGGAUUUUUGAUUGCUCUAUAACGCGCUCUACUUUCGUGUUCUCGCUGCUUAACUUCUCUGCUUUCAUUUAGCUUACCAAUUUAUUUAGUUCUGGUUGAAUGAAUGUUUGUAGGCCACAUGGUGGUGAUAUGAUAGAAAGAGGAUAAGAUUUGUAAAUUUUGUGGUUUGGUUUCGAUGUACAUCCCUGGGGACCCUAUUUCUUUCCAUCUGGUGCUUGCACUGCAAUCUGGAUGAUUGGGAAUCACCAGGCUUUAAGCAAUGGGAACUUUGUUAUUAAAGGAUUCAGUGAGUGAAGAAAAAAUCGGAUCUUUAAAGCUGAAUAUGUUGCAUUGUUUGGCAUCUCUAGUGAUCUCUCGGCAAAGUAUGAUUUUCAAUCCCAUGUUUUAUACUUGUUUCGUUUUUUUUGUGCAUGUAACCAUUGGUUCUUUCAAAGAAUGAACUUUUGUUCAGCUUUUCCUUAAUCAGCGGGUCUGUUUUCUCUGUCUCUUUGUCAGAACUACUGUUGUGUGGAAGUUGCAAACAAUGGUAAUAUUUUCAACUAGUGUGCGUUGCAACCUGCUUCCCGUUUGUUGUACCCCAGCUUGAUUUUGUUUGGAUGGAUGGCAGUUAAGAGGAUUAGAUUGGGAAGUUCUGAAGGUUGUUGUCCAAUGUUCAUUGCCCACCCGAUUUCUUUGCCAUUUCUUUUUUUUUAUGAAGAUUUCUUUGGCAUUUCCAUGCUUGCACUUCAUUCUGAUAUUAUCAGGCUUCGACAGAUGAGGUCUUUUAUGGUUAUAGACACCUAAUAAGUACUCUGUCAAUAUUGGAUCUUAUUUUGACAGCGCCAUUAAGUGCUCCUGUACUUCUGGUUUCUAGCUAUGUAUGUUUUUUCCUGCCAUUUUCUUUUGGUUGUCGCAACUUCUUAUUUUUGUUGGAUGGCUGUGUAGACUAUAUGGUGGCAGUGUAGAGGUUACAGAUUUGGAAAUUCCAAAGGUUGAUGUCCAGUAUGUUAUCUCUAUACCCUGUUGGUCUUUGUGGUUCUUGCACUGCAAUCUAAUAUGUACCCUCUUGGUAUUUUUUGUUCUUGUACUGCAAUCUCAAGUUAUUGGUCAGGGCUUCAACUAUGAAUGGAUUUUUUUUAAUCUCGUCUAUAUGGCAUCGCUAGUGAUUUCUUACGAUGUAUUGGUUCUGUCAGUUUGGACUUGAUUGUACCCUUUUUUUGUGCUUGCAUCCAUUGGGUCUUAUAGAGCAGUAGAAUAUUCUUUUGAUGGAGCGUCUUUGUUUGUCCGAUUUAUGUCGAGGUUUUUAUGGUUCAGGAUCUUAUGAGGACUAAGAUUUUCAACUAAACAAUUUUUCUUUUGUCAAAUUCUUAUGGUUGUUUUUAUUUUUCAGUUCAGAUACUUAUUUUCUUCAAUUAUCCAAUUGAUGAAUUUUCUGGUAGUUAUGGUCUUGUGGACACCCAACAAGUACUCAAUCUUGGAUCUUUCUCAAGCCUUGUAAAAUGGUCUUCUCUUUUGUUGUUCUCGUUGAUCGUUUCUCAUAUUCUCUGCUUUCUUUUACUUGUAUUACGCAAUCUUGAAUUUGUUUGUUGGAUGGAUGUAUGGUGACAGUUGAGGGGAUUAAUCGGGAAGGUUUUGAUGGUUGGUGUACUGCAUUCCUCUGCAGCAUGUUUCUUGUCCAUGUUGUGCUUGCACUAUAAUCUGUAUAUUAUCAUGAGGCUUCGGAAAGCGGUAGUUCUCAAUCUUGUCUUGGUAUUUCUCGUAAAUUCUAGGCAGCGUGCUUCACCAGCUUUGCACUUAACUGUUCCAUUCUUUCAGUGCUUGCAGUCACUGGGUCUUACAGAGCCGUGGAUUCUUCUUUUCAUGCAGCGGCCUUAUCCGUCAAUUUAUGUUAAGAGUUUUCUUGGUUGAUGCUUUUAAUAAUUAUUGAGAUCUUCAAUUUAGUUUCUUUCGUAAUAAGAAUUGUUCCUUCUCUAUUUCUCAGCCUUACUUCACUAGUAUUUGCUUUGUUGCCAUAUUUUUUCUUUCAAGUAAUACAGACGCGACUGAUGAGAUUUUGAUGGUUAUGGACAUUUGAUAAAUGUGUUCAAAUUUGGAUCUUUUGAUGGCCAUAUAAUGCAGUCUUCUACUUUCGUGAUCUCGCUACUUACAAUCUCUGUGUUCGUUUAACCUACCAGUUGAUUUAGUUUAGAUUGAUGAAUGAAUGUUUGCCACAUGGUGAUAUGAUGGUGAAGAGGAUUCACUUUCGUGAUAUCACCAUGCUCCAAGAAGAGGGCAAUUUGAAAUGUUACAUUGUUUGGCAUCUCCCCUGCGUGGUAUGGGUUUCCCAUGUUUUGCACUCGCCUGUUUCUUUCUUCUUGUGCAUGUAACUGUUGGAUCUUCCUGAGAAUGAACUAAAUUCAGUUUUCUUCUUAAUAAGUGAGUCCCUUUUGUCUUUUCAAAGCUACUGUUGUGGAAGCUCUCAACAUUCAGCAAUGAUAAUAUUUUCCACUAGUGCGUAUGUGUUUUGUAGUCUGAAGUUGUGAAGUUUCUAGUCUUGAUGCUAAUUUUCUUGGAUGAUUGAACUAAUGAGAUCCCUGAUUGGUAUGGACACCUGAGAGGUACCAUUUUAAAUUUUCAUAUGGACCUAAGUUCUUCUACAUUGGUUCGUUCUUGCUACUUGUCUUCUUUGCUCCUGUUUUUCCACUUGAUUUUGUUUGUUCGGAUGCAUAUGUGUAGACCACAUGGUGACAAUGAGGGGAUCAGAUUUGGUAGUCUCGAAGUUCUGUUUCAGUGUGUAUCCUUGUGCACCCUACUUCUUUGCCAUUUUGGUACUUGCACUGCAAUUUGGAUAUCAUCAGGCACCGAGGGAAGGGAGUUUUGCAAUCAUUCCUGGAAUCUCUUGUGACCUCUUCUAAUGUGGCGUGGGUUUCACGGCUUUGCACUCGACUGUUCCCUUCUUUUUUUGCUAGUUGUCGUUGGGUCUUUCUAGAUCAGUGAAGUCUUACUUUCAUGGAGCAACCUUGUUUGUCAAUUGGCGUUGAGGUUUCCUUAGACAGGCGUUAUUAGUAUCUAUCUUUUCGGUUCAGUUUUCUUCUUGGUUCAUAGAGAUUCCUUAUCUCGUUGUAAGAAAUGUUGUUAUACAGAAGUUCUCAAGUACGACAAUUCUUUCCACAAGUGUAUUUUCAGCUUUUGGUCCAGAUUCUUAUGUUUGUUGUGAUUCAACUGAUGAGGUUUCUUAUGGGUGUGACCUUGUGUACAUUUGUUGGAAGGAUGUAUAUACUACAUAGCAAGCAGUAUUGGAGGAUAGUAGGAUAUACACCAUACAUAGUGAACAGUAUGGGGGAUUAGAAUUUCAGUUUGUGAAGGCAAGUGUUUAGUUAACUGGUCAUUUAGGUGGUUGCAUGGAAAUCUAGAUAUUGUUAGUGCUUCGAUAAAAAGGGGGUAUCUAAAUAUUGUCUACGUCUUUCGUAGUGACUUCCAUAGUGGUUUGGGUUUUGCGAGUUUGCACUGUUCCUUCUUUCUGUGUUUGCAGUUGUGGUCUUGAAGAACUAAAAUUCUUCUUUCCGUGGGGCUACUUUUGUUUGUGAUUUAUGUUGAGGUUCCAUUUGGUUCAAGCUCCUGCGAGUGCCGAAUUUUCAGUUCAGUUCUCUUCUCUUAUUCGUAUGAAUUUAUUUUUUACCCUCUUCGAAAUGGUACUAUUCUUGUAGUGAGUUUAUCUUUGUAUGUCAGUGGUGGUUACCGCACAUGGUCAUAUCAUUCAAUUUCUGGUUCUAUUAUUGGAUGCACUAUGUGUAGUCAUAAUCACUAUUUUCAGUCUCAUUGUGUUGGGUAAUGAAGUCUUUUUUUUUUCAAAGUUACCUAUUUAAAAAAAUUACACAAACUGAAGCCUCUUUUAUUUUUGGAAGUCUCUCCCCUAUUAUUUUUUUAACAUGCCUAUUAUGUUUCAGAUAUUUAGUCAUUUGAGGAGUUUCUUCAAACGGUCAGCUGCUAUGUAAAACUUUAACGUAAAAAGAGAGAUCUUUCACACUUUUUUUCUCCAUGAAACAUUGCCAUUUGAACAGUCUUUGCAUCAAAGAGCUAGCGGCAAUUUAUUGGAACUAGAGCAGUCAAGUAAAAAACUUAGCUCAUCUUUUGUGAAAAAGGUCAUAUACUCAAUACAUAGGUAACUAUUUUUUUCUGUGUAAAAGAUCUUCUCAUGAAAUAUACCAUUGUCAAUCCAUCACAUAUUAAAUAACCGUGCAAGUUGGGAAUUUUUUUUUAACAAAUCUUGUUCUUCUAAAUAGUCUGCCAAGUUAGGGUUUGCACUAAUUUUCUUAAUAUGGUUGAAAUUACCACUGAUUAUAAAGGUAACCUUUGAUCUGUUUUUCUGUGUUAUAUAUCAUUGGUGUAUGUUGAGUGAAAUGUCACUUCAGAUGGUAUGUUUUGUAAAAUAUCCAAGAAAAAAAAUGAAAAGAAGUUUUUAAAAAAAUGUUACUUACCUGAUAGUCUGUUCAGCAAAUAGACACUCCACAUAUUAGUCACUGAUGGUUUCAUCACUUUGUUCCCCUCAUGUUCUACUACCAUCGAUAGUUCAUUUUUUAUUUUAGAAAUUGUUCCUUGCUCCUUGGGUUUCUUGUGUUGGUGAUUGAGUAGGAACCUUGCACAAGUAAAUGGGAUCUUCUAUGAAGACCGCUUCAGAUCGAGUUGUGACGGUCACGAAAAACUGAUGUUGUCUUUGCCUUCAUUCAUAGAGGAUAACUCUUCAUUCACAUGUUGCACUUUACUUUUGGCUGUUAUACGUUGGACAUCGUAUGAUAUAGAGCACUGUGCUUUAAUUUCUUGGUUGUAUCAUUAGGGAACAACAUUUUGGUGAAGAGGGUUCCAACUAUGAUUUCUGUUGCAGGUUCCUAGGAAUUCUUUUGGAAUUCUUUUGUGAGUCUGGUUUCGGUUAAAACCUAUCUUUUUUCUUCCUCUUACCCUAAUGGCGGUAGAGAUGGCAGCUUCUUUCUGAUGGUUAGAGGUGUUUGAUGGUGGUUGCAUGUGUGAAAUAAUUUAUUCAUGUCUUGUGAUUUUGAUUAUAUCUCUAUACUUUUUUGAAUCUGGUAACAUGUGUGUAUAUAUAUAUAUACUAGUUCUGAAGUCGUGUCUUGCACGUUUGACCUCCAUUACUGUUAUAAUUUAUAUAGACCCAAUUCUUGUUGAUAUAAAAUUGCUGAACAUUUUGGAAGUAUUGCAGUAUGUGUUUUCGUGCAUAUAAAAUAAACUCUUUUUAGUGUUUACUUUCUGUCCGGAACAUGAAUAUCAACAUUUUUUUUGGAGGGGGGAUAUGAGCAACUUGUAAGACUAGAACAAUAUUUUUACCAAUUAGAAUUAUCAUUUAAAAUUCUAAGCCCCAAGGCUUAAGUUUCUUGGGAUAUAAUACUCCAACUAUCAUUAAAAUAAAAAUGAAGGGAACAAACCAAUAAGAAAAAUAGUGACUAAUAAAAAGAUAUCACAUGAGAACUAUUAGAUGAUGUGUUUUCUCCAACAAUCAUGAAAAUAAAAAAUGAACGAAGGUACAAAGCUAUAAAAAAAAAUAGUGACCAA